AUCAUACUCCCUCUGUCCGAAAAUACUUGUCAUUGAAAAGGAUGUAUCUAGAUGUAUUUUAGUUCUAGACACAUCCAUUUUGAUGACAAGUAAUUCCGGACGGAGGGAGUAUAUG
rfam:Triticum aestivum genome assembly, contig: Triticum_aestivum_CS42_TGACv1_scaffold_433109_5DL